rnacentral:lncRNA from 1 species
GGAGGAGGCAAGGCAACUCUUUGGCGAACAUCCAAGAGAGCCACACAGAUUAUUGCAUACGCACAGCAGAGCCAGGCCAGCCGGGCUUAACCCUUCCUUGGUCUCUGCACAGCCUUCUUCUAAGAAUUUACUGGGAGGGAUUAAGCAUUGGCGCGGGGGGGGGGGGAAGCAGUUUUCAUUCCAAAACCUGCACCCAUUAACCACUCCUCCGAAAAAGUAGCUUUGGGGAUGGGAGGAGGUGAGGGAUGAGAGUAAGGGAAGAGUGUCAGAAAUGAGAGGUCAAGGUAGUGGGGCUGGCUUAUUUAAACCUCGGUCUUACACAGCCGCCGCCACUGCCGUGCUCCCCCUCUCACCCCCCCACACACACCUGCACACACACACACACACACACACACACACACACACACACACUCUCUCUCUCUCUCUCUCUCUCUCUCUCUCUCUCUCUCUCUCUCUCUCUCUCUCUCUCUCUCUCUCUCUCUCUCUCUCUCUUCUUUCACUUCCUUGGCAAGCAAGGCAGGGAAAGGUCUCCGAGGAGCUCCGACUGACUUUUUUACUCAAACCCCAGAAGUGUCGACUAGAGAAGAGGAGGAUCAAGCCUCUAGUGGACAGUUAUGAUCCAUCUCUCAAAAAGCUGUGAUCUUUUUUGCUGUUCCAAUUGACAAGCAUUAGCAAAGUAAAGCCAUUUAGGCAGUCAAACAAAAUGGAUCUUCCAGAGAUGUGGGGAAAAAGAAGCUUACUCUCCGAAGUUGGAAAGAGAAUUGAAGACCCUAUUUGUGGCUGCAGGAAAGGAAGGGAGCCCAGCAAGGAAACUACCAGCAGAUGGUAAAUACAUUUUUAAUUCCUUCUGUCAUACUGUGUGGACUUGUGCACAUUUGUCCUGCUGUGUUAGGCGCCUUAAAUAGCUAGCCAUGGAACUGAGUAGCAGUUUUGCUUCUGUCUGAAAUAUAGGAUACCAUGCUAGGCUGACAGAAAUGGAAGAGCUGAGAGUAGGACUGGGAUGGGAUGCAUUUGCUUCCAGUUUUUUAUUUCUGAAAUAUGUCACAUGCUGCACUUCUUAAUGCAUUGGGGGUUGAUUGAACAUUGUGUCCUCUUCUCCAUAUGAAAGUCAAAUACGUCAGAAUAUUUGGAAUCCUACUAGCAGUGUCAGUUAUAUUGGGGCAGGAGGCUACUCAUUAAAUGGGUAACAUCCUUAUGGCAACUGUUGGAGGCUUAGCCUUUAGAUCCAUUUAAUUAUGGAACCCAAGUCCUCUGAGGAGUGUCAGAGCCAUAUGUAAUAG